GUGCUAACUUGGACGGUACAUAUACUAAAACUAGAAUGAUACAGAGAAGAUUAGCAUGGCCCCUGCAUAAGAUGACAUACAAAUUCAUGAAGCAUUCCAUAUUUUU
ensembl:snRNA U6 U6 spliceosomal RNA